GUCAGGAUGGCCGAGCGGUCUAAGGCGCUGCGUUCAGGUCGCAGUCCGGUCUUACGGGCGUGGGUUCGAAUCCCACUCCUGACA
rnacentral:tRNA from 1 species